rnacentral:pre_miRNA from 1 species
GCUUGUGUAUUCAGUGUUCAGGUGUUGCUUGUGUAUUCAAAUGAAUACACAAGCAACACUUGAACACUGACUACACAA